rnacentral:rRNA from 1 species
AGUUUGAUCCUGGCUCAGGAUGAACGCUAGCUACAGGCUUAACACAUGCAAGUCGUGGGGCAGCGGUAUCGAAAGCUUGCUUUCGGUAGCCGGCGACCGGCGCACGGGUGAGUAACGCGUAUCGAACCUGCCUCAUACUCGGGAAUAGCCUUGCGAAAGUAAGAUUAAUGCCCGGUGUUUUCAGAGUCCCGCAUGAGGGUUUAAAAAAUUUUCGGUUGGAGGGGGUGUCCCUUAGUUGUGCGGGGAACGCCCACAAGGCUUGGUGGUGGGUUUGGAGGAAGUCCCCCACUUGGAAUGGACCGGUUCAAAUCCUUCGGGAGCCGCAGGGGGAAUUUGUCAAUGGCGGAACCUGACCAGCCAAGUAGGUGCAGGAAGAGGCCCUCCGGGUUGUAACUGCUUUAGUUGGAAUAAACGGGGCUCGUGAGCCCCUUGCAUGUACAUCAGAAAAAGACCGGCUAAUUCCGUGCCAGCAGCCGCGGUAAUACGGAAGGUCCGGGCGUUAUCCGGAUUUAUUGGGUUUAAAGGGAGCGCAGGCGGACCUUUAAGUCAGCUGUGAAAUACGGCGGCUCAACCGUCGAACUGCAGUUGAUACUGGAGGUCUUGAGUGCACACAGGGAUGCUGGAAUUCAUGGUGUAGCGGUGAAAUGCUCAGAUAUCAUGAAGAACUCCGAUCGCGAAGGCAGGCAUCCGGGGUGCAACUGACGCUGAGGCUCGAAAGUGCGGGUAUCAAACAGGAUUAGAUACCCUGGUAGUCCGCACAGUAAACGAUGAAUACUCGCGGUUUGCGAUACAGUGUAAGCCGCCAAGCGAAAGCGUUAAGUAUUCCACCUGGGGAGUACGCCGGCAACGGUGAAACUCAAAGGAAUUGACGGGGGCCCGCACAAGCGGAGGAACAUGUGGUUUAAUUCGAUGAUACGCGAGGAACCUUACCCGGGCUUGAACUGCCAGCGACGGAUGCAGAGACGCAUCUUUCUUCGGACGCUGGCGGAGGUGCUGCAUGGUUGUCGUCAGCUCGUGCCGUGAGGUGUCGGCUUAAGUGCCAUAACGAGCGCAACCCUCAUCCUCGUUUGCCAUCAGGUGAUGCUGGGCACUCCGGGGACACUGCCAUCGUAAGAUGUGAGGAAGGUGGGGAUGACGUCAAAUCAGCACGGCCCUUACGUCCGGGGCUACACACGUGUUACAAUGGGCGGUACAGAGGGCAGCCACUGCGCGAGCAGGAGCCAAUCCUCAAAGCCGUUCUCAGUUCGGACUGGAGUCUGCAACCCGACUCCACGAAGCUGGAUUCGCUAGUAAUCGCGCAUCAGCCAUGGCGCGGUGAAUACGUUCCCGGGCCUUGUACACACCGCCCGUC